AUUGAACGCUGGCGGCAUGCUUUACACAUGCAAGUCGAACGGCAGCGGGGAGGAGCUUGCUUCUCUGCCGGCGAGUGGCGAACGGGUGAGUAAUACAUCGGAACGUGUCGAGAAGAGGGGGAUAACCACCCGAAAGGGUGGCUAAUACCGCAUAAAUUCUGAGGAAGAAAGCUGGGGACCUAGGAAUAGGCCUAGCGCUUUUUGAGCGGCCGAUGUCGGAUUAGCUAGUUGGUGAGGUAAAGGCUCACCAAGGCGAAGAUCUGUAGCGGGUCUGAGAGGAUGAUCCGCCACACUGGGACUGAGACACGGCCCAGACUCCUACGGGAGGCAGCAGUGGGGAAUUUUGGACAAUGGGGGCAACCCUGAUCCAGCCAUGCCGCGUGUAUGAAGAAGGCCUUAGGGUUGUAAAGUACUUUUGUUAGGGAAGAAAAGUCAGCUGUGAAUAAUGGCUGAUACUGACGAUACCUAAAGAAUAAGCACCGGCUAACUACGUG
rnacentral:rRNA from 1 species